AGUGCCAUUGCUGGAUUAUAUGGUAAGAGUAUCUUUAGUUUUGAAAGAAACUGCCAAACUGUCUUCCAAAGUGGCUGUACCAUUUUGCAUUCCCACCAGCAAU
rnacentral:pre_miRNA from 1 species